CAGGCUUAACACAUGCAAGUCGAGGGGAAACGACAUCGAAAGCUUGCUUUUGAUGGGCGUCGACCGGCGCACGGGUGAGUAACGCGUAUCCAACCUGCCCACCACUUGGGGAUAACCUUGCGAAAGUAAGACUAAUACCCAAUGAUAUCUCUAGAAGACAUCUGAAGGAAAUUAAAGAUUUAUCGGUGAUGGAUGGGGAUGCGUCUGAUUAGCUUGUUGGCGGGGUAACGGCCCACCAAGGCGACGAUCAGUAGGGGUUCUGAGAGGAAGGUCCCCCACAUUGGAACUGAGACACGGUCCAAACUCCUACGGGAGGCAGCAGUGAGGAAUAUUGGUCAAUGGGCGAGAGCCUGAACCAGCCAAGUAGCGUGCAGGAUGACGGCCCUAUGGGUUGUAAACUGCUUUUAUAAGGGAAUAAAGUGAGUCUCGUGAGACUUUUUGCAUGUACCUUAUGAAUAAGGACCGGCUAAUUCCGUGCCAGCAGCCGCGGUAAUACGGAAGGUCCGGGCGUUAUCCGGAUUUAUUGGGUUUAAAGGGAGCGUAGGCCGGAGAUUAAGCGUGUUGUGAAAUGUAGACGCUCAACGUCUGCACUGCAGCGCGAACUGGUUUCCUUGAGUACGCACAAAGUGGGCGGAAUUCGUGGUGUAGCGGUGAAAUGCUUAGAUAUCACGAAGAACUCCGAUUGCGAAGGCAGCUCACUGGAGCGCAACUGACGCUGAAGCUCGAAAGUGCGGGUAUCGAACAGGAUUAGAUACCCUGGUAGUCCGCACGGUAAACGAUGGAUGCCCGCUGUUGGUCUGAAUAGGUCAGCGGCCAAGCG
rnacentral:rRNA from 1 species